rnacentral:rRNA from 1 species
UGGGGACGACGUCAAGUCAGCAUGACCUUUAUAUCCAGGGCUACACACACGCUACAAUGGUCAGUACAAUGGGUUGCCAAGCCGCGAGGCGGAGCCAAUCCUAAAAAGCCUGGCCUCAGUUCAGAUUGCAGUCUGAAACUCGACCUGCAUGAAGUCGGAGUUGCUAGUAACCGCAGGUCAGCUAUACUGCGGUGAAUACGUUCCCGGGGCUU